UACGUAGGGUGCGAGCGUUGUCCGGAAUUACUGGGCGUAAAGAGCUCGUAGGUGGUUUGUCGCGUCGUCUGUGAAAUUCCGGGGCUUAACCUCGGGCGUGCAGGCGAUACGGGCAAUACUUGAGUGCUGUAGGGGAGACUGGAAUUCCUGGUGUAGCGGUGGAAUGCGCAGAUAUCAGGAGGAACACCGGUGGCGAAGGCGGCUUUCUGGCCAGUUACUGACGCUCAUGCGCGAAAGCUGGGGUAGCGAACCGGAUUAGAUACCCUGGUA
rnacentral:rRNA from 1 species